rnacentral:sRNA from 1 species
UCUCUGCUCAAAAAUUGGAUUGACUUACAUUUGCCGAAAAAUGUAUCUGUGAGCGCCGGUGAUCUGCUAGUGAGAUCCAGAUAGCUACGAAAGGAAGCCGAUGCUUUAACAUUAAGGGCCUGUUGAGCGCUCUUGAGAUGCGAUUAUCCCCUAGAACGGCAGAAAACUAAUAUGAAGUUCCGAUUGAAGUACGAUAAACCUUCGCAAGCGGCCCAAACAGAACCUAGAAAAGUGGUUAGAUAACUAGGCAUUGAUUGAAGAAAGAUAUUUAAGCAAACAGGGAUAGAUGGGCAGAUUUCCUUCAAACCAAUAGAACAAUCGAUCCUUCGUACGUUGCGGUUUAGAAGCAUGAGAUAGCAAGUAAAG